UGUGGCGAAACAUUAUUUGGGGAAUAUAUUAGUUGUUCAGAGUGAAGUGUUUUAAUGUAUUAGUGAUACCUAACAUCAGAAGUGGUUGUAUCUCACGUCAGCAACAUGGGAAAGGGAAGAAGACAUUCUCCUAGCAGUUCUUCGAGUUCUACAAGUUCAUCUAGCUCAUCAAACACUGAAAAAAGACAACGGAAACAUAAGAUAAAAAGAACCAAGCAUAAUUCUAGCAGACUAGGGAUUUUUCGAAUAGUUCGAGGGCGAACAAAAAUUAGGAUGGCCGUGUUAGGAACAACCGCCCUAUAUAUCGAUAGUCCAGUUAUGCGUAAUGAGGAUGAUUCAUGGAAGCAGCUGUUUAUCGGGAGAUAUUCAUUAUUGAGUAGACUAAGUAGGAUACGGUUGUUGUGGCGAAACAUUAUUUGGGGAAUAUAUUAGUUGUUCAGA